AUUAUUACAGACAUUUCAGGCUGCGUGCUAAGUACUCGUGAAGAGCCAGGCCUUUCCCCAGUACCAAAGUCUCUAGCUAGACCGUGCGCUCGUAAUUUCUUUACCCACAGGCAAACAAGAGUUGGGACGCCGGCCGGCCAUGAAAGGCGACGCCGGUGGAGGAGGGAGGGUGAGGCUGCAGGCGCCUGCCGCCGGGGCUCCCAGCCCUCUUGCGGACACCAUCUUCCAUCUCUGCAUGAAAACCGCCAUUGUCCUUGGGAGCUGCUAUGUUGCGUUCGUCGUUUACAUCGCCAUGACAUACACGCAAAGCUGGUUAGAAAAGCUUCGGGUGCUGCCACUGCUGAUCGUCGCUGUCACCGUUCCGCUGCUAGGGGCGGUUCUGAUCCAAAAGUAGCAGCAUCUACUCCAUGGCUAGCUCCAACACUGCCGCAAAGUUGCUGCUGCCGUAGUUAUGAGUUAAUAAAUCCCCCAUCCCGUGUGUUUUGCAAGAACGAAGUCUAGCAAAAUUCUUGGGAGCGCCUGGAUAGAGGAUCCGGAUCGUGUAUGAAACUAGGAGAUGAUAGAUUAUUGAUGAAAGGUCGUGUUGGAACCAGCAACAUUUCUGCUAGAGAUGCCUGUUGGAACCAGCGCCAGCUCCUUUGGUUGUGUUCUUUCACCAUGUCUGCAUGAAAAUCUAUAGAUAUAUAAUUGUUGAAUGAUUCA